GACGAACGCUGGCGGCGUGCUUAACACAUGCAAGUCGUACGGUAAGGCCCUUUCGGGGGUACACGAGUGGCGAACGGGUGAGUAACACGUGAGUAACCUGCCCACAACUUUGGGAUAACGCUAGGAAACUGGUGCUAAUACUGGAUAUGUGCUCCUGCUGCAUGGUGGGGGUUGGAAAGCUCCGGGGGUUGUGGAUGGACUCGCGGCCUAUUAGCUUGUUGGUGGGGUAGUGGCCUACCAAGGCGGCGACGGGUAGCCGGCCUGGGGGGGUGACCGGCCACAUUGGGACUGGGAUACGGCCCAGACUCCUACGGGGGGCAGCAGGGGGGAAUAUUGCAAAAUGGGCGCAAGCCUGAUGCAGCAACGCCGCGGGCGGGAUGACGGCCUUCGGGUUGUAAACCGGUUUCAGCAGGGACGAAGCUUUUUGUGACGGUACCUGCAGAAGAAGCACCGGCUAACUACGUG
rnacentral:rRNA from 1 species